UGGUCUCUGUGGAUCAGUGGCGAACGGGUGAGUAACACGUGAGCAAUCUGCCCCUGACUCUGGGAUAAGCGCUGGAAACGGCGUCUAAUACCGGAUACGAGCUGCGGCCGCAUGGUCGGCAGUUGGAAAGAAUUUCGGUCAGGGAUGAGCUCGCGGCCUAUCAGCUUGUUGGUGAGGUAAUGGCUCACCAAGGCGUCGACGGGUAGCCGGCCUGAGAGGGUGACCGGCCACACUGGGACUGAGACACGGCCCAGACUCCUACGGGAGGCAGCAGUGGGGAAUAUUGCACAAUGGGCGCAAGCCUGAUGCAGCAACGCCGCGUGAGGGAUGACGGCCUUCGGGUUGUAAACCUCUUUUAGCAGGGAAGAAGCGAAAGUGACGGUACCUGCAGAAAAAGCGCCGGCUAACUACGUGCCAGCAGCCGCGGUAAUACGUAGGGCGCAAGCGUUAUCCGGAAUUAUUGGGCGUAAAGAGCUCGUAGGCGGUCUGUCGCGUCUGCUGUGAAAACCCGAGGCUCAACCUCGGGCCUGCAGUGGGUACGGGCAGACUAGAGUGCGGUAGGGGAGAUUGGAAUUCCUGGUGUAGCGGUGGAAUGCGCAGAUAUCAGGAGGAACACCGAUGGCGAAGGCAGAUCUCUGGGCCGUAACUGACGCUGAGGAGCGAAAGGGUGGGGAGCAAACAGGCUUAGAUACCCUGGUAGUCCACCCCGUAAACGUUGGGAACUAGUUGUGGGUCCAUUCCACGGAUUCCGUGACGCAGCUAACGCAUUAAGUUCCCCGCCUGGGGAGUACGGCCGCAAGGCUAAAACUCAAAGGAAUUGACGGGGACCCGCACAAGCGGCGGAGCAUGCGGAUUAAUUCGAUGCAACGCGAAGAAUCUUUACCAAGGCUUGACAUAUAGAGGAACGUCUGGAAACA
rnacentral:rRNA from 1 species